rnacentral:rRNA from 1 species
UACGUAGGUGGCAAGCGUUGUCCGGAAUUAUUGGGCGUAAAGCGCGCGCAGGCGGUCCUUUAAGUCUGAUGUGAAAGCCCACGGCUCAACCGUGGAGGGUCAUUGGAAACUGGGGGACUUGAGUGCAGGAGAGAAAAGUGGAAUUCCACGUGUAGCGGUGAAAUGCGUAGAGAUGUGGAGGAACACCAGUGGCGAAGGCGACUUUGUGGCCUGUAACUGACGCUGAGGCGCGAAAGCGUGGGGAGCAAACAGG